ensembl:lncRNA
CUUUAUCAAAACCAGUGAAGCUGAAUCAGCUUACCCGAAGAAAUAGCUCAUUAUUUUUAUGUCCGUAAGGAAAGAAAAAGCACAGCAGAAAUGCUAGUCAGGUUUGCUCAGUGCCAGGAUAAUGGAGGAAGAUUUCCUCAGGUCUCUAUUGUGGUAUUGUGGAGGUCCACACAGGGUCAGCAGAUGUCUGACAGCAGAUCCGCACCCACCCAGAAGAGCAACUGGGAUAUCCCACCAACCAGCCACAGGAGAAGGCUGCUGGAACCAGGAGGAGAGAAGCAGCCCCGAGAGGCACAGUGAUGAUGGAGGAACAGAGAAAUGCACUCAGAUCUGUUUCAGCUUCGACGGGCAAGUUCUUCAAAAUAAAAAAGCAGCUGGACAAUUAUACUGCUAGAGGAAAGGACUAUUACAAAGUGAGGAUGCUCAGCCUUAGGCUCUGCAUUAGAAUCUGUAAGUCCUGAAGCACAUCAGGCUUGGUGACUGCAGAGUCUCACUGGAGAGGAACAGUCUGGAGCUUUCAGAAGGAGCAGAAGUUCUGUGUCAGGGUACCUAACGGAUCCUAAAACAGAACUGCCCACCCCUGAAACAUUCCUGACAGGAGCUUGUGCAGCACUGUUUUUCGGAUGGAAAUACCCCAGUCCUGCUACCUAAAUCACUCUAGUGCUUGACUAUCAGUAUUGAAAGAGAGCUUUCCUGAAGCCUAGACUAAUUCCUCAUUUUGUAAUGUUAACUACUUCAUUCAGGUCCUGUACAAAGACCUUAUCCAAUUUAUUAUGGCAACUCUCACAUGCAUGCUUAAGAACUGUUUUAUGUAUUUCUUCUUGAUUUUAUUUUCUCUAAAUGGGCAAUACAAGUACUUUGGGCCAUGUAUUUAUAUUACUGACCAUUUCUAUACAAAUAAAUGUUCAUCUCUCCUAGCUGAACA